rnacentral:rRNA from 1 species
AACGAACGCUGGCGGCAUGCCUAACACAUGCAAGUCGAACGAGACCUUCGGGUCUAGUGGCGCACGGGUGCGUAACGCGUGGGAACCUGCCCUUAGGUUCGGAAUAACUCCCCGAAAGGGGUGCUAAUACCGGAUAAUGUCUUCGGACCAAAGAUUUAUCGCCUUUGGAUGGGCCCGCGUUGGAUUAGCUAGUUUGUAGGGUAAAAGCCUACCAAGGCGACGAUCCAUAGCUGGUCUGAGAGGAUGAUCAGCCACACUGGGACUGAGACACGGCCCAGACUCCUACGGGAGGCAGCAGUGGGGAAUAUUGGACAAUUGGCGAAAGCCUGAUCCAGCAAUGCCGCGUGAGUGAUGAAGGCCUUAGGGUUGUAAAGCUCUUUUACCCGGGAUGAUAAUGACAGUACCGGGAGAAUAAGCUCCGGCUAACUCCGUG